rnacentral:rRNA from 1 species
GACGAACGCGGCGGCGUGCCUAAUACAUGCAAGUAGAACGCUGAAGAGAGGAGCUUGCUCUUCUUGGAUGAGUUGCGAACGGGUGAGUAACGCGUAGGUAACCUGCCUGGUAGCGGGGGAUAACUAUUGGAAACGAUAGCUAAUACCGCAUAAAAUUGAUUAUUGCAUGAUAAUUAAUUGAAAGAUGCAAUUGCAUCACUACCAGAUGGACCUGCGUUGUAUUAGCUAGUUGGUGAGGUAACGGCUCACCAAGGCGACGAUACAUAGCCGACCUGAGAGGGUGAUCGGCCACACUGGGACUGAGACACGGCCCAGACUCCUACGGGAGGCAGCAGUAGGGAAUCUUCGGCAAUGGGGGGAACCCUGACCGAGCAACGCCGCGUGAGUGAAGAAGGUUUUCGGAUCGUAAAGCUCUGUUGUAAGAGAAGAACGAGUGUGAGAGUGGAAAGUUCAC